rnacentral:rRNA from 1 species
CGUAACAAGGUUUCCGUAGGUGAACCUGCGGAAGGAUCAUUAUCUAUAACCGGGUGUGGCUGCGGCCUCCGGGGGCGUGGGCGUCGAGAUGAUGCCCUCUCUUCCGGGUGGUAGAGGUAAAACUCUCACGCGCCACAUGUCUGAAUCCUUUUUUUACGAGCACCUUUCGUUCUCCUUCGGUGGGGUGACCUGCCGUUGGAACCCAUCAAAACUCUUUUUGCAUCUAGCAUUACCUGUUCUGAUACAAACAAUCGUUACAACUUUCAACAAUGGAUCUCUUGGCUCUGGCAUCGAUGAAGAACGCAGCGAAAUGCGAUAAGUAGUGUGAAUUGCAGAAUUCAGUGAAUCAUCGAAUCUUUGAACGCACAUUGCGCCCCUUGGUAUUCCAUGGGGCAUGCCUGUUCGAGCGUCAUCUACACCCUCAAGCUCUGCUUGGUGUUGGGCGUCUGUCCCGCCUACGUGCGCGGACUCGCCCCAAAUUCAUUGGCAGCGGUCCUUGCCUCCUCUCGCGCAGCACAUUGCGCUUCUCGAGGUGCGCGGCCCGCGUCCACGAAGCAACAUUACCGUCUUUGACCUCGGAUCAGGUAGGGAUACCCGCUGAACUUAA